UACGUAGGGUGCAAGCGUUGUCCGGAAUUAUUGGGCGUAAAGCGCGUGUAGGCGGCUCGGUAAGUCUGCUGUGAAAGUCCAGGGCUCAACCCUGGAAUGCCGGUGGAUACUGUCGAGCUCGAGUCCGGAAGAGGCGAGUGGAAUUCCUGGUGUAGCGGUGAAAUGCGCAGAUAUCAGGAGGAACACCAAUGGCGAAGGCAGCUCGCUGGGACGGUACUGACGCUGAGACGCGAAAGCGUGGGGAGCGAACAGG
rnacentral:rRNA from 1 species